CAGCAGCCGCGGGAAUACGGAGGGUGCAAGCGUUAAUCGGAAUUACUGGGCGUAAAGCGCACGCAGGCGGUUUGUUAAGUCAGAUGUGAAAUCCCCGAGCUUAACUUGGGAACUGCAUUUGAAACUGGCAAGCUAGAGUCUUGUAGAGGGGGGUAGAAUUCUAGGUGUAGCGGUGAAAUGCGUAGAGAUCUGGAGGAAUACCGGUGGCGAAGGCGGCCCCCUGGACAAAGACUGACGCUCAAGUGCGAAAGCGUGGGGAGCAAACAGGAUUAGAUACCCCUGUAGUCCCUGUCUCUUAUAC
rnacentral:rRNA from 1 species